rnacentral:rRNA from 1 species
CCUACGGGUGGCUGCAGUGGGGAAUAUUGCGCAAUGGGCGAAAGCCUGACGCAGCGACGCCGCGUGAGGGAUGAAGGUCUUCGGAUCGUAAACCUCUGUCAGCAGGGAAGAACGGUCACUGUGCUAAUCAGCAGUGAAUUGACGGUACCUGCAAAGGAAGCACCGGCUAACUCCGUGCCAGCAGCCGCGGUAAUCAGGAGGGUGCGAGCGUUAAUCGGAAUUACUGGGCGUAAAGCGCUCGUAGGCGGUAUGUCAAGUCAAGGGUGAAAUCCCCGCGCUCAACGUGGGAACUGCCUUUGAAACUGGCAAACUGGAGUGUGUGAGAGGAUAGUGGAAUACCCAGUGUAGAGGUGAAAGUCGUAGAUAGUGGGUAGAACACCGGUGGCGAAGGCGGCUAUCUGGCCAUUUACUGACGCUGAGGCUCGAAAGCAUGGGGAUCAAACAGGAUUAGAUACCCUUGUAGUC